UACGAAGGGGGCUAGCGUUGUUCGGAAUUACUGGGCGUAAAGGGCGCGUAGGCGGUGUGUCAAGUCAGGCGUGAAAGCCCCGGGCUCAACCUGGGAACAGCGCUUGAGACUGGCACGCUGCGAGUUGGGAGAGGAUGGUGGAAUUCCCAGUGUAGAGGUGAAAUUCGUAGAUAUUCGCAAGAACACCAGUGGCGAAGGCGGCUCACUGGCCCGGUACUGACGCUGAGGCACGAAAGCGUGGGGAGCAAACAGG
rnacentral:rRNA from 1 species